rnacentral:tRNA from 1 species
GCCUGGGUGGCUCAGUCGGUUAAGCGUCUGACUUCGGCUCAGGUCAUGAUCUCACGGUUCGUGAGUUCAAGCCCCGCGUCGGGCU